rnacentral:rRNA from 1 species
UACGUAGGGUGCGAGCGUUAAUCGGAAUUACUGGGCGUAAAGCGUGCGUAGGCGGUUCGUUAAGUUCGUUGUGAAAGCCCCGGGCUUAACCUGGGAAUGGCAUUGGAAACUGGCGGGCUUGAGUGUGGCAGAGGGGGGUGGAAUUCCGCGUGUAGCAGUGAAAUGCGUAGAGAUGCGGAGGAACACCGAUGGCGAAGGCAGCCCCCUGGGCUGACACUGACGCUCAGGCACGAAAGCGUGGGGAGCAAACAGG